rnacentral:rRNA from 1 species
GACGAACGCUGGCGGCGUGCUUAACACAUGCAAGUCGAGCGGUAAGGCCUUUCGGGGUACACGAGCGGCGAACGGGUGAGUAACACGUGGGUGACCUGCCUUUAGCUUCGGGAUAAGCCUGGGAAACCGGGUCUAAUACCGGAUAUGACCUCAUGUCGCAUGGUGUGGGGUGGAAAGUUCUUCGGCUAGAGAUGGGCCUGCGGGCCUAUCAGCUUGUUGGUGGGGUGAUGGCCUACCAAGGCGACGACGGUAGCCGGCCUGAGAGGGCGACCGGCCACACUGGGACUGAGAUACGGCCCAGACUCCUACGGGAGGCAGCAGU